rnacentral:snoRNA from 2 species
AACCCAUGAUGAGGACACUCCCUAUAGUAGUCCUUAAACCUCUCCCAAGCUUCAUGGAAUGACUCUGUGCCUCCUUGUUGGAAGCUAAUGAUCUUAUUCCUUAGGAC